AUUGAACGCUGGCGGCAGGCCUAACACAUGCAAGUCGAGCGAGCGGCGGAAGGGUGAGUAAUGUCUGGGAAACUGCCUGAUGGAGGGGGAUAACUACUGGAAACGGUAGCUAAUACCGCAUACCAUCGGAUGUGCCCAGAUGGGAUUGGCUAGUAGGUGGGGGAACGGCUAACCUAGGCGACGAGCCCUAGCUGGUAUGAGAGGAUGACCAGCGACCCUGGAACUGAGACACGGUCCAGCCUCCUACGGGAGGCAGCAGUGGGGAAUAUUGCACAAUGGGCGCAAGCCUGAUGCAGCCAUGCCGCGUGUGGGAAGAAGGCCUUCGGGUUGUAAAGCACUUUCAGCGGGGAGGCGUUACCCGCAGAAGAAGCACCGGCUAACUCCGUGCCAACAGCCGCGGUAAUAC
rnacentral:rRNA from 1 species